rnacentral:lncRNA from 1 species
UCUUGCCAUGCUUGUCAUCCAAAAGUCGUUUCUGUCGCAGGUGCAAGUGUCUGUAAACUAACCAUCUAAACUUAAGGAAUGGCUGCUGCUGACUCAGUGGGAAGCCCAAGAGAGCAGUGACUCAGUUUUAAAAGUUUUCAGGGCUUUUGAUGGCAGACAAAUGCUCUUCAGAAACACAGGAUGCACACAACUGGAGUGAGAAGAACACAGGAGAAGGACUCUGUUUGGUUUGCAAAGUCACAGAAAUCGGAGAUCUUUGGAUACGACUGAUCAUUUCUGCAGGUGUGUGUGUGUGUGUGUGUAUGUGGGUGUGUAGGUGUGUGUGUAUGUGUGUGUGCAUGUGUGUGUGUGUGUGUUUGUUGUGUGUGUA